CUGGCGGCGUGCUUAACACAUGCAAGUCGAACGCGCAGCAUUCUGUAGCAAUACAGGGUGUGGGCGCGUGGCGAACGGGUGCGUAACACGUGGAUAACCUUCCUUCAGGUGGGGAAUAACCCAGUGAAAAUUGGGCUAAUACCGCAUAACAUCGCGAUGGCACAUGCUGUUGCGUUCAAAGGCGCAAGUCGCCAGAAGAGGGAUCCGCGGCCGAUUAGCUUGUUGGUGGGGUAACGGCCCACCAAGGCUUUGAUCGGUAGCCGGACUGAGAGGUUGGCCGGCCACACUGGAACUGAGACACGGUCCAGACUCCUACGGGAGGCAGCAGUGGGGAAUCUUGCACAAUGGACGAAAGUCUGAUGCAGCAACGCCGCGUGGGGGAUGAAGCUUCUCGGAGUGUAAACCCCUUUCGACCCGGACGAAUGCCCGCAAGGGUUUGACGGUACGGGUAUAAGAAGCCCCGGCUAACUACGUGCCAGCCG
rnacentral:rRNA from 1 species